rnacentral:rRNA from 1 species
UACGUAGGGUGCAGGCGUUAUUCGGAAUUACUGGGCGUAAAGCGUGCGCAGGCGGUUUCUUAAGUCAGAUGUGAAAGCCCCGGGCUUAACCUGGGAACUGCGUUUGAAACUGGGAGACUUGAGUGUGGCAGAGGGGGGUGGAAUUCCACGUGUAGCAGUGAAAUGCGUAGAUAUCUGGAGGAACACCGGUGGCGAAAGCGGCUCACUGGACCAUAACUGACGCUGAGGUGCGAAAGCUAGGGUAGCAAACGGG